rnacentral:rRNA from 1 species
UACAGAGGUGGCAAGCGUUGUUCGGAAUUACUGGGCGUAAAGGGCGCGUAGGCGGUUUCGUAAGUCCCGUGUGAAAGCCCCCGGCUCAACUGGGGAACUGCACGGGAAACUGCGAGGCUUGAGUUCGGGAGAGGGAAGCGGAAUUCCGGGUGUAGCGGUGAAAUGCGUAGAUAUCCGGAGGAACACCGGUGGCGAAGGCGGCUUCCUGGACCGACACUGACGCUGAGGCGCGAAAGCUAGGGGAGCAAACAGG